AUGGCACCAAUCCGCCGGUUCUCUGCAGAAGAGAAGGGAAAGGCCCCUCGAGAGGGUCCUGACCCGCUUCCACCAAAGAAGCGGCUAGUCCUCUGCCGCCGAGAUGAGGGCACGCGGCAGGAGGCAUCAAGGUACGAGCGGCCGGCACCGGGGUUCCUGCUGCCCUUGUACGCCCGCAUUGAGGGCUCUGGAGAAGAGAGCACCGAGCGACACCGACAGUGUCGCCAUCGACGCCGGCGGGUCACGACGGUGCGCGUCGUUCCUCCUGGAGUCCACGCCGAGGGCUCCUCUCGCGAGCUUGUGCUCCACGCCGCCAUGCCUCCCCGAUCUUGGAUUCACCUUCCUCCCUCCUUCGCCUUCGAGAUCCUGCCGAGGGGACCUCUUGAGCUCUAG
rnacentral:rRNA from 1 species